AGCCCCGUGCUUCCAGAGAGCUCAGCUGUUGAGUCAGCUGAGCCGGGGGCUUUGCGAAGCACCGAGGGGGAAAGGGUCCCCGUACACUGAGUGUUUGGGAGCUGUGGGAGCUCCAAAAAGCUCCAGGGUGUCUGAGAACCUGAGUAGCAGGUCGAGAGUGGACCUCCAGCUGCGGGGCACUGCAAAUCACGCUGCACGGCGCUUCCAAGUAUGAACAAACCUAAACGAAGACAGCUGGCAGGGGCUCU
rnacentral:lncRNA from 1 species